rnacentral:rRNA from 1 species
UACGAAGGGGGCUAGCGUUGUUCGGAAUUACUGGGCGUAAAGCGCGCGCAGGCGGUCUUCCAAGUCAGUGGUGAAAGCCCGGAGCUCAACUCCGGAACUGCCAUUGAAACUGUAAGACUUGAGGAUGAGAGAGGUGAGUGGAAUUCCCAGUGUAGAGGUGAAAUUCGUAGAUAUUGGGAAGAACACCGAUGGCGAAGGCAGCUCUCUGGACCGUUACUGACGCUGAGGCGCGAAAGCGUGGGGAGCAAACAGG